AAUCAACGCUGGCGGCAUGCCUAACACAUGCAAGUCGAACGGGCGUAGCAAUACGUCAGUGGCAGACGGGUGAGUAACGCGUGGGAACGUACCUUUUGGUUCGGAACAACCCAGGGAAACUUGGGCUAAUACCGGAUAAGCCCUUACGGGGAAAGAUUUAUCGCCGAAAGAUCGGCCCGCGUCUGAUUAGCUAGUUGGUGAGGUAACGGCUCACCAAGGCGACGAUCAGUAGCUGGUCUGAGAGGAUGAUCAGCCACAUUGGGACUGAGACACGGCCCAAACUCCUACGGGAGGCAGCAGUGGGGAAUAUUGGACAAUGGGCGCAAGCCUGAUCCAGCCAUGCCGCGUGAGUGAUGAAGGCCCUAGGGUUGUAAAGCUCUUUUGUGCGGGAAGAUAAUGACGGUACCGCAAGAAUAAGCCCCGGCUAACUUCGUGCCAGCAGCCGCUGUAAG
rnacentral:rRNA from 1 species